rnacentral:rRNA from 1 species
UACGUAGGGUGCGAGCGUUAAUCGGAAUUACUGGGCGUAAAGCGUGCGCAGGCGGUUUUGUAAGCCAGAUGUGAAAUCCCCGGGCUCAACCUGGGAAUGGCAUUUGGGACUGCAAGGCUGGAGUGUGGCAGAGGAGACUGGAAUUCCUGGUGUAGCAGUGAAAUGCGUAGAUAUCAGGAGGAACACCGAUGGCGAAGGCAGGUCUCUGGGCUGACACUGACGCUCAUGCACGAAAGCGUGGGGAGCAAACAGG